GAACGCCGUAUGCGGUGAAAAUCGCACGUACGGUGUGGGGCGGGGGAAAAGAUGGAGAUUACUUCAAAUUCUUACCUAUCGCAC
rfam:Bacillus circulans strain RIT379 contig28, whole genome shotgun sequence.